rnacentral:ncRNA from 1 species
CAGAGGAGAAAUCCGCCCAAGGAGGGGCUCGCGUCUGAUUAGCUAGUUGGUGAGGUAAUAGCUUACCAAGGCGAUGAUCAGUAGCUGGUCCGAGAGGAUGAUCAGCCACACACGGACUGAGACACGGCCCAGACUCCUACGGGAG